AGCGAACGCUGGCGGCGUGCUUAACACAUGCAAGUCGAACGUGAAAAGGGGUAACCCUGAGUAAAGUGGCGUACGGGUGAGUAACACGUAGGUAAUCUACCCUAGAGUCUGGAAUAACCUGCCGAAAGGCGGGCUAAUACUGGAUAGAGCAAUUUGUUCGUAAAGGGAUGAAUUGGGAAAGGGAGCCUGAAAGGGCCCUUGCUUUAGGAUGAGCCUGCGUCCCAUUAGCUAGUUGGCAGGGGUAACGGCCUACCGAGGCGAUGAUGGGUAGCUGGUCUGAGAGGAUGAUCAGCCACACUGGAACUGAAACACGGUCCAGACUCCUACGGGAGGCAGCAGUGGGGAAUCUUGCGCAAUGGGCGAAAGCCUGACGCAGCCACGCCGCGUGAGUGAAGAAGGCCU
rnacentral:rRNA from 1 species